CUUUGAAGUGUGGUCGCUAGAUCGCAUGGAGCCAACGUUGAAAUACCACCCUGGUGUGUUUGAGGUUCUAACCUUGGCCCGUGAUCCGGGUCGGGGACAGUGCAUGGUAGGCAGUUUGACUGGGGCGGUCUCCUCCCAAAGUGUAACGGAGGAGUUCGAAGGUACGCUAGUUACGGUCGGAAAUCGUGACGAUAGUGCAUUGGCAUAAGCGUGCUUGACUGCGAGACUGACAAGUCGAGCAGGUACGAAAG
rnacentral:rRNA from 15 species